AAAUUGUCCUGGACUUACUUCACCAAAAUGGAGCCGAUCUGCUUCAAUUGAGAGGCAGAGAAAUUCUGAAACUUUUGGAUCUCGAAAGGGCGAAAACAAAUUGGGCGAAACAGCAGGUGGUUGUGCUCUCAUACAGACGAUGACGCGAUAGGCUUCAACGAUGGUCGAUUUAGACUUGAUUCAUAAGGAAAACUCGUAUUGUGGGCCAUGAUUUUAUGCGUUCUUCAUAUACGGUUAGCUGCUACCUACACAUUGUACUACGUGUUGUGUUGAACCUGAAGAUACUUUUUUGGUUGAGCCUGAGCCAAUAUCCGACGGUUGCCGUGAUUAACGAUGGAAGUAUUUCAAGGGAUGUCUCAUAGCAUUAUACGGUACGUACAUCAAUGUUCGUGUGCGUGCGGGUUCCUCAAAUUCAUAUACUUGCUCCCGGGCGUCAAGGAUGCUACGUGAUGCUGUAAGUCGAGAGGAUGGACUCGAAGUGCAGAGAAAUGAUAUUACUAUAUAUGUGACAAUGGUUAUGCGAAUAGUGAAGGGUUCUUGACGCCCUACAAAGGGGUUCGUUAUCAUCUGAAAGAGUUGGGACCUGCAUGCGAGCGUCCUCAAAACCCUCGAGAAUUAUUCAAUAUGAAGCAUACUAGAGCACAAAAUGUCAUUGAGCGGGCAUUCGCCGUCCUAAAAAUGCGGUGAGGCAUUCUCUGGAGUUGCAGCUUCUAUCAAAUACAAGUUCAAAUAGGGUUGAUAAUCGCAUGUUUUCUACUACACAACUUCAUACAAGGUGAGAUGGCGGUAGACCCAAUAGAGGCGCAGCUCGACCGAGAAGCUAAUAGUGCUAUGGAUAAAGAAGCCGAUGAGGAUGUAGUUGAAUACGUCGACAAUGUAGAAGCAACCACUGCAUGGAACAGGAUGAGGGACGACCUAGCAGCUUCCAUGUUGGCUAAUUCAAAUGCGGCGUGAAGGGCGUAUUGAAGCUAAUAUUUAUGCAUGUCCAAAUUCUGUUUAUGAGAGAUUUAGUCAACGAGACUCAGUACCGUGGCUUGUUUAUGGUUUAUUUUCAAGACUAACAUGCUUUAUGUCUCUCUGCAAAGAACUAUAUAUGCAAAUCUUUGCUAUUUUCCUUCGCUA